rnacentral:rRNA from 1 species
UACGUAGGUGGCAAGCGUUAUCCGGAUUUACUGGGUGUAAAGGGAGCGUAGACGGCUUUGCAAGCCAGAUGUGAAAGCCCGGGGCUCAACCCCGGGACUGCAUUUGGAACUGUAUGGCUGGAGUGUCGGAGAGGCAGGCGGAAUUCCUAGGGUAGCGGUGAAAUGCGUAGAUAUCAGGAGGAACACCGGUGGCGAAGGCGGCCUGCUGGACUGCGACUGACGUUGAGGCCCGAAAGCGUGGGGAGCAAACAGG